rnacentral:hammerhead_ribozyme from 1 species
AUCCAAAUGAAGAGUCUCACCUAGGAAGAAACGUGCGUCCUGGAU